AGUGGGAUAACUGGGUGAAAUGGUGGCUCCAUUUUUAGCUUUUUGAGGAAUCUCCAUACUGCUUUCCAGAAUAGUUGCACCAAUUUGCAGUCCCAUCAAUAAU
rnacentral:pre_miRNA from 1 species